ACUUUUCGUCUCUUAAUGCAUGGAAUAGACCAAGGAGAGGCAGGCAUUCUGAUUUCAACGAAAGCCCCUGUUUAUGUCCAGCCAUUCAAGGGAUAAAAUAUCUGGUCCACUUCAGCAAAACGAAAACGGUUGAAUCAGCGGGCCACCUGGAUCCCAAUUCAUCAUCGUCAGCCUUUUCGAGUUUUUUUAAUGUCCCUGUCACCAAAAUUUUCAGAUCCCACUCCUCUUUCCGUCUCCUAGAAAGUUUCGGCAGAUUCACUUCACCAGAUCCUUGACUCAAUCGGCCGCUUAUGUCAUACAAGGAGAGAUUCUUUGCUUAAAAUUUGAGCUGCUGCUACAACGUCUCCAAACGUACUGUUUUAGCAUCUCAACGGCUCAUAUUCAAAAUGCGGUGGUUAAAUUUGAAGGGGAGAAAAAGAUAGAGCACUAUGAGUCAUGUGACUGACCAAAAAGAGGCAUAGGAUGCUCAAAUAAAGGCUGGAAGACCUAACAAUGUCGUGGCCCGUGGGAGCCACCACGCAUGCUAAUCAGAGGAUAAGAACCGAAAGGCUUUUUAAGUCAAGAGUCAGAGAUGCCCUUGUAGCCCUCUAUUUAAACGAGAAGCAAGAUGAGCCCCCCUCAUCUAGGGUUUCAAGGGCGGCAGCCGUGUAGGAGAAAGUAAAGGGAGAGUGAGAGAAUGGGGAGCGUCUGGAUUGGGGGCCGAUGGAAAGGGUCCCUAAACAUUUGAAGAUGUGUGAAGAUACCUUUCCCAGACCCCCAAUACCAAAGGCUUCCCACCUUCCCAUCCCUUCCUUCUCUCUGCAUCUCUGGAUCCACGCUUCUUAUCCGUCUCACAUGUUGGUAGACAAAAAUGCAUUCGGUGCUGAAACGGCUUAAAGCUUUGUCGGUGGAGUCAUGAGGAGGCUUAAAGAAGAACAUAAUCUCUACAAUGCUCUUCAAGUAACUUGACAUCUUCAGUUGCAGACUUGGUUGGUAGAGGAUCAAUUCUCUUGCUGUAGAAAAUUUGGUGAAAAUGAUUUGCAACAAUGAGAUAACCCAUGUUCUUUGGAUAUGCUUCAAAAUCUCUACUGAUAAUCCUAGCUCUCCAAUGUCUGAUCUAAUUAAUUGGGGGCUCAACACAAAUAUCACUAAAUUCCAGAGGGCAAGACAACAGUGUUGGUCUUCUA